rnacentral:lncRNA from 1 species
GUGAUGAGAAUUCAGCAGUGAAAAAAGGAGGUGGCUUCUGACCCCUAAAAAGAAGACACAUAAAUGGCUGACCACCACAUAUCACAGUAUGAGAUGUUUCUCUUGAAGGGAGGAGAGUUUGUGGCACUAAGAGGUAAUAUUUUCUCUUCAAGUUGAAGAAAGUGAUUCAGAACUCUUUCAAGAACUAAAGAGAAGGUGAAACUCCAUGCAGAGAAGAAUAAGAUGGUAAUUUGGAGAGGCAAUGAUAGGCUGAUACCAAGCCUUAGAUGUUCUCAAGGGUGGAGCCUCAGAGUAUACACGUUGGAUAUUGCAUUCCACAUUUCUGCCAAUAAGUCAAAAGUAGCCGUCAGCCUAACACUUGGGCCCUGUGGAAGAAACUUCUGUCCAAAGCUACCCUAUAGUUGGCUGCCUGGCUUCAGAGCUUUUUUUGAACUUGGAAGACUUCAAGCCCCAACUGAGGAAUCCUUGAUGCUCUGUUGUUUUGUCUUGCUAAAAUGUACAAGAAACUUGCACAGCUCUGUCCUUCAGGCUUAA